rnacentral:rRNA from 1 species
GUAGGGAAUCUUCCGCAAUGGACGAAAGUCUGACGGAGCAACGCCGCGUGAACGAUGAAGGUUUUCGGAUCGUAAAGUUCUGUUGUUAGGGAAGAACCGCCGGGAUGACCUCCCGGUCUGACGGUACCUAACGAGAAAGCCCCGGCUAACUACGUGCCAGCAGCCGCGGUAAUACGUAGGGGGCAAGCGUUGUCCGGAAUUAUUGGGCGUAAAGCGCGCGCAGGCGGCUUCUUAAGUCAGGUGUGAAAGCCCACGGCUCAACCGUGGAGGGCCACUUGAAACUGGGAGGCUUGAGUGCAGGAGAGGAGAGCGGAAUUCCACGUGUAGCGGUGAAAUGCGUAGAGAUGUGGAGGAACACCCGUGGCGAAGGCGGCUCUCUGGCCUGUAACUGACGCUGAGGCGCGAAAGCGUGGGGAGCGAACAGG